rnacentral:misc_RNA from 1 species
GACAACAGCGAGUUGAAGCCCAAGUAAGUAGUGUUAAUUUUAUUACUUUUAGGUAGUAUUGAUGUUAUAUAAUCAUCAUGGUUGGAGACCCUCAACCCCACAGGUUUAUUCUCAUGCAAAUAUUUGUGCAUUCAUUUUAUAAAAGCUCUAUUGUGGGAGAAAAUGAAACGAUAAUGGUCCGUGUUGUUAAGGCUAGUAAGUUUAUUCUUGUGCAAUUGUUUCCAAUUACAAUGUUUUUUUGUGAAUUCAUUAAUAAAGCUCUAUACUAGGUGAAAUGUGAUAGUGCAAUAGGAAAUCCUUUGGGGUUCAGAGGGGACUUGCAAUUAAAUGGACUGAUUUCUGACAUAGGGGCUAUGCAAUUGAUGCAAAUGCAAUUACACGCAACUCUUCAAAGGCUAUUCUAAAUGUUUUAAGAAUUUAUAUUUGGGGGAGCCAUGGUAAUUGUUGCAUGUGCAUGGCACAAUAUCUCAAAGUCUAUUUUUAAUUUCUUUCUUUUUUAAGAAUUAUGGGGUUAAGGCUAUCCUUUAUAUUUUGAUCUGGAAUGAUGGCAGUUCAAGAGCAUUCUUUGCGUCAUUUGUGGCUUACUUACUAUAGUUCUAAAGAAUUGAUAUAGUACUAGGAAUUUCAUUUGGGAUGACAAGUUUCUUUAGGAAUUUUUAAAAAUUGUGGUUAGCUGUUGGCAUAGUCAUUUGUUAAAUUUUGUUAUUUGGAACGUGUAUCUGUCAUUCAAUAGUGCUCUCGAGUUAUAUUGAAUCAUUCAUGCAGCUAUUGCUACUGCUACAGAUACAGAGCUACCACUACUGCUACUGCCUGUGUAACGUGAUGUUAUUGGCAUCAUCAUCAUACUUAUCAUCAUCAUCAUCUUGUUUUGACACCCUUAUGAUUUGCAUGCUUCAAUAAAUACUAUGUAACGAACAGAGAACUAUGUUCUAAAGUUCUCUUACAAUUUUAUGCAGGGACGAGAAGCUUUAUCUGCUUUA